rnacentral:rRNA from 1 species
CGGGUGAGUAACGCGUGAGAAUCUGGCUUCAGGUUCGGGACAACAGUUGGAAACGGCUGCUAAUACCGGAUGUGCCUUAUGGUGAAAGAUUUAUCACCUGAAGAUGAGCUCGCGUCUGAUUAGCUAGUUGGUGUGGUAAGAGCGCACCAAGGCGACGAUCAGUAGCUGGUCUGAGAGGAUGAUCAGCCACACUGGGACUGAGACACGGCCCAGACUCCUACGGGAGGCAGCAGUGGGGAAUUUUCCGCAAUGGGCGAAAGCCUGACGGAGCAAUACCGCGUGAGGGAGGAAGGCUCUUGGGUUGUAAACCUCUUUUCUCAGGGAAGAAUAAUGACGGUACCUGAGGAAUAAGCAUCGGCUAACUCCGUGCCAGCAGCCGCGGUAAUACGGAGGAUGCAAGCGUUAUCCGGAAUGAUUGGGCGUAAAGCGUCCGCAGGUGGCAAUGUAAGUCUGCUGUCAAAGCGUCUGGCUCAACCAGAUAAAGGCAGUGGAAACUACAUAGCUAGAGUAAGGUAGGGGUAGAGGGAAUUCCUGGUGUAGCGGUGAAAUGCGUAGAGAUCAGGAAGAACACCGGUGGCGAAGGCGCUCUGCUGGACCUUAACUGACACUGAGGGACGAAAGCUAGGGGAGCGAAUGGGAUUAGAUACCCCAGUAGUCCUAGCCGUA